rnacentral:rRNA from 1 species
UACAGAGGGUGCGAGCGUUGUUCGGAAUUACUGGGCGUAAAGCGCGCGCAGGCGGCUUCUUAAGUCAGGGGUGAAAUCCUGGAGCUCAACUCCAGAACUGCCUUUGAUACUGAGAAGCUUGAGUCCGGGAGAGGUGAGUGGAACUGCGAGUGUAGAGGUGAAAUUCGUAGAUAUUCGGAAGAACACCAGUGGCGAAGGCGACUCACUGGACAUGUAUUGACGCUGAGGUACGAAAGCGUGGGGAGCAAACAGG